rnacentral:rRNA from 1 species
UAAAUAUUCAUAGGUAACGGUUGGGCAUGCGUCCUAUUAGAUAGUUGGGGGGGUAACGGCCCACCAAGUCGAUGAUAGGUAGGGGUUCUGAGAGGAAGGUCCCCCACACUGGUACUGAGACACGGACCAGACUCCUACGGGAGGCAGCAGUGAGGAAUAUUGGUCAAUGGGCGAGAGCCUGAACCAGCCAAGUCGCGUGAGGGAUGACUGCCCUAUGGGUUGUAAACCUCUUUUGUAUGGGGGGAAUAAGCUUUACGAGUAGAGUGAUGACAGUACCAUACGAAUAAGCAUCGGCUAACUCCGUGCCAGCAGCCGCGGUAAUACGGAGGAUGCGAGCGUUAUCCGGAUUUAUUGGGUUUAAAGGGUGCGUAGGCGGCAUUAUAAGUUAGUGGUAAAAUAUUGGGGCUUCACCUCACUACGCCAUUAAUACUGUAGAGCUAGAGAACAGACGAGGUAGGCGGAAUAAGUUAAGUAGCGGUGAAAUGCAUAGAUAUAACUUAGAACACCGAUAGCGAAGGCAGCUUACCAGACUGAGUCUGACGCUGAUGCACGAGAGCAUGGGUAGCGAACAGGAUUAGAUACCCUGGUAGUCCAUGCCGUAAACGAUGCUCACUGGCCUUAGGCGAUAUAUGGUCU